AAUCCCUACAACAAAACUGUUGUCACACUUCAAUUGGCCAGCAUCAUCAGAGGUGGAACAUUUUUGCAUCAUAACUGGAUAUAUGGGUUUAAAGUUUCAUAAAAAGUUCUGACUGCUCAACACUCAACUAUCAGAGAAGACAUCGGGCAACAUCACAGACCUGUGUGACCACCUGCAGUGAUGAUUCCAAUGAAGCCCAGUAUGUUUUAUUCUCACUAUGCAUGUAUCACCUCUUCGACUCACCUCUGCUAUGAGGUCUAUAAGCAGAGAACACUUAUUGACUCGGGUCACUUUACAAACACUGACGAAAGCCACGCUGAGGAAGUGUUCAUUGGCGAGCGGUUUAGAGAUGCCUGGAAAAGCUGCACAAUUGUCUGGUACAUCUCCUGGAGUCCGUGCGAUGAUUGUAUGGAUAUCUUGCUGAACACAUUUCUUCCCAACAACCCCCACCUCACGUUGCACAUCAUAUUUGCCAAGGUCUAUGAACGCACCACGAAGAGUAACAUCCAAAAACUAAUUGCAAGAGGAGUGAAAAUACGUGUCAUGUUUUAUUCAGAGUUUUCUUGGUGCUGGAAUCAUUUUGUGGAAGCUACAGACCCUCUGAUCCCAUGGAGACAUAUGAACAAAAAUUAUCAGGAGGCUUCUCAGUGGCUACAGGAUGCUUCAUCUGACAAUUUCACGUACAACAGUUAAAACAUAACAACUAUGGUAGCAUGGGGUGCAACGGCUAUGGUGCCAAUAGCUGUGGGCAGAGCUUCACCACUGGACUGUUGACCACAAACAUUUGUUUAGCUUGAUGAUAGCAUGUUUUAUUUUUUUUCAAGUUCUAAACUGUAAGCUGGUAAGGAGUGUGUAGUCUUGACCUAUUACUUAUAUGUUGUUCUUAUCAGACAUUUACCUUUUUGUAGUUCCAUAAAAGAACAGAGAACCUUAUACUUUACAAAAUUACUGGGACAUGAAUUAUGUCUGAUCAUGAUCAGUAAUUGACAGUGAAAGCUAAUGGUUAAUGCAUUGUGAUUUCUUUAUAUUAUCAUAGUGUUUGUUAGGAACCAGUUUAUUUGGGUUCAGUAUGAUUUGCCGGCAGUCAGGAUACCGACAGCGGCACCCCGUCCAUCCGAAUCCCAACAGCCCCCUCUAAAGUACCCUAACCCUCCUCCACCCCCUUCUCCAACCCUAACCCUCCCUUGUGGGUGCCUAAACCUAACCCUCCCUGGAGGUGCCUCACCCUAACCCUCCCGGGUGGUGCCUAACCCUAACCCUUCCUUCUCUAAUGCCUAAACCUAACCCUCCCCUCUUGGUAGCUAAUGCUAACCUCCCCUUCUAUGUGCCUAACCCUAACCCACCUUCACGGUUCCUAACCCUAACCUUCCCAGCCCUGCACCCUAACUCUAACCACCCUUCUCCUGCCUAAACUUAACCUCCACCCCCCUUACCCACGGAAGGAUGCCAACGCGUCCUGCUGGAUGGACAUUUCGGGAUUCCGGCUGUCAGUAUUAUGACACCGGUAUCCCGUGCAGUGUCGGAAUCUAGAUGUCGGGAUUGUACGGCCCUUCGGGAUCCCGACUUCGGUAUAUCAACCGCCAGGAUCCCGUCCGUCGGGAAGCUAACUGCGUCCCAUUUAUUUAUAUUUAAUUUGCUUAGUCUAAGAUCUGUACAGCAUAAUACAAUUCUGUAGCUCCCAACAUUUAAUAACAUCCCAACGUACUAACAACUUAAUUAGAUGAAGAAAAAAACAUAAAAAUACACUUUAUAUUUGAUUUAUUAAUAUGUUGUUUUUAGAUUAGAAUAAACUAGUUUGAAAAUUGGCCAUUUGCAUGUGAGAACAAACCGUAGAAAACAACCCCUUUCGCAACCCCUUUCCUGUAGGGCACACCAUAUGUUCUUGCAGGAAUGUUUGCCUCAUUACACAUUCCAAUUCUUAACACAAAACAUUCAUGUGGUCUGGUAUUCAGUUAUAUGAGAUGUGGGUGCUCUUUGAAAAGAUAAGUUCUUCUUUUGAUCAUAUUUUAACUAUAAUCUCUCAGAACAUGAAAAGUAAUGGCUUUAGUACUUUUGUUCCUACAUAUGCGUGUACAGCAUUUGAGUUGUUAGUUAAUUAUUACAAACUAGGCUGUAAAUUGUGCCGACAAGAAUAUUGCAAUAAUAUUUACAACAGGAAAUGUAGCCU